GGGAGACAUGGUGCAUUGAGACACUGUGAUACAUAGGGACACUGUGAUACAUAGGGUCACUGGGAGACCUGGGGACACGACACUAGGGGACACUGGGAGACAUGGGGCACUGAGAAACUGAUACAUAGAACACUGAGACCUGGAGUAAUCAAAACAUGGGGGCACUGGGAAACAUGGGGGCACUGGGAGGAAUCCAUCUAUACAGCAUAAUCAAACUAAGUAGUUUUUUGGUGAUUUUACAGCAUUUUCUCUUAUGUCACUCCUUGUGAUUUACAUCAUGUGAUGUCAUCCAUACAUAUUUAAUUAUGCAAAUUAGUAAGGCCGGUAUGUUUUUCCAAGAAAGGUGGC